rnacentral:rRNA from 1 species
GACGAACGCUGGCGACGUGCUUAACACAUGCAAGUCGAACGGAAAGGCUCCAGCUUGCUGGAGUACUCGAGUGGCGAACGGGUGAGUAACACGUGGGUAAUCUGCCCUGCACUCUGGGAUAAGCCUGGGAAACUGGGUCUAAUACUGGAUAUGACCUUUCUCCUUAUGGGGUUUGGUGGAAAGUUUUUCGGUGUAGGAUGAGCCCGCGGCCUAUCAGCUUGUUGGUGGGGUGAUGGCCUACCAAGGCGACGACGGGUAGCCGGCCUGAGAGGGUGAUCGGCCACAUUGGGACUGAGAUACGGCCCAGACUCCUACGGGAGGCAGCAGUGGGGAAUAUUGCACAAUGGGCGGAAGCCUGAUGCAGCGACGCCGCGUGAGGGAUGACGGCCUUCGGGUUGUAAACCUCUUUCAGCAGGGACGAAGCGUAAGUGACGGUACCUGCAGAAGAAGCACCGGCUAACUAUGUG